rnacentral:rRNA from 1 species
GACGAACGCUGGCGGCGCGCUUAACACAUGCAAGUCGAACGGAAAGGCCUGCUUUCCCUUGUGGAUUGCGGGUACUCGAGUGGCGAACGGGUGAGUAACACGUGGGUGAUCUGCCCCCAACUUGGGUAUAAGCCUGGGAAACUGGGUCUAAUUCCCGAUAGGACUGCAGGGUGGUGCCUGUGGUGGAAAACGAUUUUCUAGUGGUUGGGGAUGAGCUCGCGGCCUAUCAGCUUGUUGGUGGGGUAAUGGCCUACCGAGGCGGCGACGGGUAGCCGGCCUGAGAGGGUGGACGGCCACAUUGGGACUGAGAUACGGCCCAGACUCCUACGGGAGGCAGCAGUGGGGAAUAUUGCACAAUGGGCGGAAGCCUGAUGCAGCGACGCCGCGUGGGGGAUGACGGCCUUCGGGUUGUAAACUCCUUUCGACCGCGAGGAAGCCACCUGGUUGGAAGGGUGGUGACGGUAGUGGUAGAAGAAGCACCGGCUAACUACGUG